rnacentral:rRNA from 1 species
AUUGAACGCUGGCGGCAGGCCUAACACAUGCAAGUCGGGCGAGUGGCGGACGGGUGAGUAAUGUAUCGGGAUCUGCCUGAUGGAGGGGGAUAACUACUGGAAACGGUAGCUAAUACCGCAUACCAUCAGAUCAACCCAUAUGGGAUUAGCUUGUCGGUGGGGUAACGGCUCACCUAGGCGACGAUCCCUAGCUGGUCUGAGAGGCUGGUCAGCCACACUGGGAAGUGGAAAAGGCCCAGACUCCGACGGGAGGGAGCAGUGGGGAAUAUUGGACAAUGGGGGCAAGGCUGAUGCAGGCAUGCCGCGGUGAUGAAGAAGGCCUUAGGGUUGUAAAGUACUUUCAGCGGGGGGGCGGGACCCGCAGAAGAAGCACCGGCUAACUCCGUGCCAGCAGCCGCGGUAAUAC